rnacentral:rRNA from 1 species
GGAAGGCCUUUGGGUUGUAAACCUCUUUUCUCAGGGAAGAAGAUCUGACGGUACCUGAGGAAUAAGCAUCGGCUAACUCCGUGCCAGCAGCCGCGGUAAUACGGAGGAUGCAAGCGUUAUCCGGAAUUAUUGGGCGUAAAGCGUCCGCAGGUGGUCUUUCAAGUCCUGCUGUCAAAGACCAGAGCUUAACUCUGGGCAGGCGGUGGAAACUGAGAGACUAGAGUUCGGUAGGGGUAGCGGGAAUUCCCAGUGCAGCGGUGAAAUGCGUAGAUAUUGG